GAUGAACGCUGGCGGUGUGCUUAACACAUGCAAGUCGAACGGUGAAGCAGAGCUUGCUCUGUGGAUCAGUGGCGAACGGGUGAGUAACACGUGAGCAACCUGCCCCUGACUCUGGGAUAAGCGCUGGAAACGGCGUCUAAUACUGGAUAUGAGCUGCGACCGCAUGGUCAGCAGUUGGAAAGAUUUUUCGGUCUGGGAUGGGCUCACGGCCUAUCAGCUUGUUGGUGAGGUAAUGGCUCACCAAGGCGUCGACGGGUAGCCGGCCUGAGAGGGUGACCGGCCACACUGGGACUGAGACACGGCCCAGACUCCUACGGGAGGCAGCAGUGGGGAAUAUUGCACAAUGGGCGAAAGCCUGAUGCAGCAACGCCGCGUGAGGGAUGACGGCCUUCGGGUUGUAAACCUCUUUUAGCAGGGAAGAAGCGAAAGUGACGGUACCUGCAGAAAAAGCGCCGGCUAACUACGUG
rnacentral:rRNA from 1 species